GUUUGAUCUGGCUCAGAUUGAACGCUGGCGGAAUGCUUUACACACCAUUUAAGAACGGUAGAGGGGGCAACCCCUUGAGAGUGGCGAACGUGUGAGUAAUAUAUCGGAACGUGCCCAGUCGUGGGGGAUAACGUAGCGAAAGUUACGCUAAUACCGCAUACGAUCUAAGGAUGAAAGCGGGGGAUCGCAAGACCUCGCGCGAUUGGAGCGGCCGAUAUCAGAUUAGGUAGUUGGUGGGGUAAAGGCUCACCAAGCCAACGAUCUGUAGCUGGUCUGAGAGGACGACCAGCCACACUGGAACUGAGACACGGUCCAGACUCCUACGGGAGGCAGCAGUGGGGAAUUUUGGACAAUGGACGCAAGUCUGAUCCAGCCAUUCCGCGUGCAGGAUGAAGGCCCUCGGGUUGUAAACUGCUUUUGUACGGAACGAAAAGGUUUCUAUUAAUACUAGGAGCUCAUGACGGUACCGUAAGAAUAAGCACCGGCUAACUACGUGCCAGCAGCCGCGGUAAUACGUAGGGUGCAAGCGUUAAUCGGAAUUACUGGGCGUAAAGCGUGCGCAGGCGGUUAUAUAAGACAGAUGUGAAAUCCCCGGGCUCAACCUGGGAACUGCAUUUGUGACUGUAUAGCUAGAGUACGGUAGAGGGGGAUGGAAUUCCGCGUGUAGCAGUGAAAUGCGUAGAUAUGCGGAGGAACACCGAUGGCGAAGGCAAUCCCCUGGACCUGUACUGACGCUCAUGCACGAAAGCGUGGGGAGCAAACAGGAUUAGAUACCCUGGUAGUCCACGCCCUAAACGAUGUCAACUGGUUGUUGGGUCUUCACUGACUCAGUAACGAAGCUAACGCGUGAAGUUGACCGCCUGGGGAGUACGGCCGCAAGGUUGAAACUCCAAGGAAUUGACGGGGACCCGCACAAGCGGUGGAUGAUG
rnacentral:rRNA from 1 species